rnacentral:rRNA from 1 species
CAGCACCUCAAGUGGUCAGGAUGAUUAUUGGGCCUAAAGCAUCCGUAGCCGGCUCUGUAAGUUUUCGGUUAAAUCUGUAUGCUCAACAUACAGGCUGCCGGGAAUACUGCAGAGCUAGAGAGUGGGAGAGGUAGACGGUACUCGGUAGGAAGGGGUAAAAUCCUUUGAUCUAUUGAUGACCACCUGUGGCGAAGGCGGUCUACCAGAACACGUCCGACGGUGAGGGAUGAAAGCUGGGGGAGCAAACCGGAUUAGAUACCCGAGUAGUCC